rnacentral:rRNA from 1 species
UACAGAGGGGGCAAGCGUUGUUCGGAAUUACUGGGCGUAAAGGGCGCGUAGGCGGCCUUCUAAGUCGAACGUGAAAUCCCCGGGCUCAACCCGGGAACUGCGUCCGAUACUGGAAGGCUUGAAUCCGGGAGAGGGAUGCGGAAUUCCAGGUGUAGCGGUGAAAUGCGUAGAUAUCUGGGGGAACACCGGUGGCGAAGGCGGCAUCCUGGACCGGUAUUGACGCUGAGGCGCGAAAGCCAGGGGAGCAAACGGG